rnacentral:lncRNA from 1 species
UGUUUUCACGAUGUGGAACACGUCAAUGAUGUUUUGCUGCUGGAUCAUCUCACACACACUGCAGAUGGCACAGAAGGUUCCACUACGGCCUCCCCCAUUUCUAAACACAGAGCAAAGAGGAACCAGCAAGAAACUGAGCUCGGCUCCCUGGCUCACAUAGACAUGGAACAGAGAUCACAUCUGUGAGUGGAGGAGCCAGACUUUUCAUAUAAGCACGUGUAAAACUUUUGAAGUUGGCUGAUCCAAGAAUAGAUUCAAAUUCUUCAGCCAAGAGUCUAGACCAACUGACUUUUUCCACUUCAUUGCCUAGGCUACAGGUGGCCAACUGUCUUGGCCCCCUAGGACUCACCUCUGUCUGUACCAGGUUGACCCUUUGGGCCCGGAGCUCACGCACGCAGUUGAAGAUGUCCACCACCCCUUCAUUCUCGGCCAUGUCAAGCAUGGUGUCAAUGGCAAUGAAGCAGCCAGUCCGCCCAGCCCCAGCACUGGAAGAGAGGAAAUGGGUUGACGGAUGGAAGCAAAGAAGGAGAGGAGAGAGAACAGAGGGGAGAUGAAUGACAGGACAGAAACGAGAGUCCUCUGAGCUGUCCCCAAGACAGAGAGUGGUUGGUGGAGCACCACGUUCAAAGGCCGGCAUCUGGCUCCACCUGCAGCUGUUUUCGCAGGAUCGUGAAGCAAGAGUGUCAUGAAACUGGAGCAGCUGACCGUCCGGAGACCCUUGUCAGGGAUCAAGUUUCUUGAUACAUACUUACUUGAUUUCUGGUCACUAGUGGCUUCUUUAGGAGAAUCUCAGACCAAGUAUAAAAUGGUAGGGGAACUCAACGAGACUCUAUGGGCCUUGGCCAGCCCUUUCUAGAUCAGUGCUGGGCUCUGAAACAUCAGUGCUGACCAAGAGGCACGUAAGACAUGUGCCUUACACAUGUGCAGUUUUGGAUGGGAAGGCCGGGCAGCCUGUCAAGGAGGCCCCCUUCCGCUGCGUUUUCACAUCUUGCCUUUCUCAUGGAAACAAGUGUCUUUGUCUAACAAUGUAGAUGUCAAAAGACACACAAAGAGGAAGAGAGAUGGAACAAGACAAAAAAGCAAUAUUGGCUCAUGGUAAAUCCAAGGGGCACAGGCCAGUGCGGACCACUACCUACAACAAUUUGGAAAGUACACCCAUUGGAAGCAGAGUCUUCAUUCAUGAGAAACUUUCAUGGUUUGAAUGAAGUCUGACUUAAGUUUGCUUCAGAACCUACUCCCCAAAAUCCAGAUGCGGGGACUCAAGAGACUUGGCCUCUGUGUCUGGGAGGGAGUAUAGGGGGGGUCACUCGUGUUUUUUUCUUCAAUGUUCAUAUUCACCAUGCUUUAGUAUAAAGAAUCAGCCCAAUUUGGUUCCAAAUUUUGGAACAACUAUCAAUCAAUCAGCGGUGACCAAGUUGCCUAGUGUCCGUUUGUUUGUUAGCUUCAGAUUUCUGAUGCUUUUAACAUACCUCCCUGCAGGGUCCUUGUGAGGACAAAGCUGUGUUUAUUUCAUUUCAGCAUCACAUAGUAAUUGAACACAGGAUAUUUGAAAAGACCCCCUAGGAUUAAAUCCUGGCUCUAUUACUUAUUAGCUGCAUGACCUCGGGCAAAUGACUUAACCUCUCUGGGUUUCAAUACUCAUCUAUAAAAUGAUGUUGAUAAUAAUUAAAAUACUCACUCAUCUAUAAAAUGAUGUUGAUAAUAAUUAAUAGAUCCACCUCACAGCAUUAAUAGCACAAUAUGUAUAAAUUGGAUGAAAUUACAAUUAAAAUGCAUAAUGCAUACAAAUUGCUUUGUGCCUGGAUA